CCUACGGGGGGCAGCAGUGGGGAAUAUUGGGCAAUGGAGGCAACUCUGACCCAGCAACGCCGCGUGAAUGAUGAAGGUCUUCGGAUUGUAAAGUUCUGUGAUGGGGGAUGAACACAAUGACGGUACCCCAAUAGCAAGCCACCGCUAACUACGUGCAAGCAGCCGCGGUAAUACGUAGGUGGGAAGCGUUAUCCGGAAUGACUGGGCGUAAAGGGUGCGUAGGUGGUUGAGUAAGUUGGCGGUGAAAUGCCGGGGCUCAACCCCGGCGCUGCCGGGAAAACUAUUAGGCUAGAGUGCAGGAGGGGUAAGUGGAAUUCCUAGUGUAGCGGUGGAAUGCGGAGAUAUUAGGAGGAACAGCAGGGGCGAAGGCGACUUACUGGACUGUAACUGACACUGAGGCACGAAAGCGUGGGGAGCAAACAGGAUUAGAUACCCGAGUAGUC
rnacentral:rRNA from 1 species